rnacentral:rRNA from 1 species
UACUCGAGUGGCGAACGGGUGAGUAACACGUGGGUGAUCUGCCUUGCACUUCGGGAUAAGCCUGGGAAACUGGGUCUAAUACCGGAUAGGACCAUGCUUUAGUGUGUGUGGUGGAAAGUUUUUCGGUGCAAGAUGAGCCCGCGGCCUAUCAGCUUGUUGGUGGGGUAAUGGCCUACCAAGGCGACGACGGGUAGCCGGCCUGAGAGGGUGUACGGCCACAUUGGGACUGAGACACGGCCCAG